AUCGAGACUUGGUUGUGGUGGUGUGCCCUGGCUGGUGUGCUGGGCACGUCGCGGGGCAGGGUGACGUGGUGUGCGGGCCGGGCUGGGCAGGGCGAGGUGAUGGCGGUGGGGCCAGGGCCAUGGCAGGGCUGUGCUGUCCGCCCUCAGCUGCACCAGUCCCAGCACACCGCUGCGUGCCCCGAGGCCCCCGGUGCUGGGGCAGGGCCGUGGUGGAGGGGUGGGCCGCCUCGCCCUCGGCGGCUGAAAAUAGUGCAGCAUUGUGGGGGUUGAGCACUUGAUGGGCCCUGCCGCUGCUUGCCAUGGCGCGGCGGCCUCUCCGCGGAGGCUCAAGAUGCUGUUUUUUCUCCAAUACCCAGCAGCUCCCCGUGCCCAGGGCAGAGGCCGUGCUGCACGCCGCUGAGCUGCUGCAAUGCCUCGCCACGGGAGGUGCUGGUGCUCGAGGCACGGCAUAGAUCAGGAUGCUCUGGGAUUUCAGUCUCGGCUGAGCCAAAGUUGCUAACUAGAGUUUUUCAUGCGUGGCCGAAGGCUGCUGCUUGCCUUGCAAAUAUUUAUUGAAUAUGUCACGUGGCCUGCGAUUGCUGCGUGCAGGGGGCCGUGUGUCGAGGGCCUGGGUGUGCUGGGCGGCGGGGGCGCGUAUGAAUGGGACCUGGAGGGGCGGAGGAGGCGGAGUGUUCACAGGUGCAGGAGGGGUGCGGAUGAGGGGCACGGCUCCUCGCCCACCCCGCCACCUCGCCUCCUCGCCGCCAUACCAACAGCCUCAGCCUCCCCCAUACAUGCCCUCUGGUCCUCCCCGGCACGGAGAGGCUGUGUGUCGUGCGGGACAUGUGCUGGGGCCGGCGGGGAGGCGUGGGGCGGGCGGGUUCCUCCAGGCGGGGUUGGCCUGCUAACUGUGUGAGUUCAGUAUUUCCUUUGUAAGUGGCGGCGGCGGGCUCCUCUGUCGUGCCCCGCCGUGGAGUUUUUUCUCACGUGUUCGCUGGAGGGGGACGGGGGACGGCCUUCCCUGGCAAAAAGAUGUAUGUUGUGUUUGCGGCUUUUGACCAGAUGUUCCUUAACCUGUAUAGCAUGAGGCGGUAAGUGUGUUUGUCUGUUUGUAUGUAUAUGUGUGUAUGUAUGUAUGUAUGUUCAAGGUAUACCAUCAUUCACACCUAUCUACCCCGUUCACGAUAGCCAGGCGAACAGGCUCCUCCCCUCUUUUCCCUGCCAUGCCUCUCAUUGGUUCACACAUGGAUAGGCCCCGCCCCCUUCCGUCUCCUGAGGCUUGUGAUUGGUGGAUGCUCAGGGAAGGAAGGAAAGGGGAGGAGCUAACGCGCUAACCUAACCUGAACGGACACUAUUGAUGGUUUAUGUGAAUUUGGUGAUGAUGGUGAUGAUAGUGGUGGUGAGGGUGGUGAUAGAGAUGAUAGUAGUGGUGGUGGUGAUCGUGGUGAUGAUGGUGGUGAUAGAGAUGAUGAUAGUGGUGAUGGUGAUGAUGGGAAGGCUACACCCCCUCCCCCCCCAUGUGACUCACCAGACCGCCAUAUACUGAUUUAGAUAAAGAUGGGAUGAAGGGAGGAGGUUGUAAGCGGCUUGAGGUAGUGGAGUAGCCGUAUUUGUGGCCGCGUGGGUUGAGGUGGGUGAGGGGCGCAGUGGGGGUGUAGCUGUGGAUGGGAGUGGGCGUGGGAAGGGGUGUGUAGGAGGAGGUAGAGAGGAAAUUGGGUUAACUGCAAGGCGAUAAAAUAAGAACGAAUGGAUGAAAGGGAAGACUGAAGAUAAGUUGAAAAUGGGGAAAAAAUAAAAGGAAAAAAGAAAGAAAAUUAAAGAAAGAGGAAAAGAAAAGGAAGACUAAAGAUAAGUUGAAAAUGGGGAAAAAAUAAAAGGAGAAAAAGAAAGAAAGGGAAAGAAAGAGGAAAAGAAAAGGAAGACUAAAGAUCAGUCGAAAAUGGGGGGGAAAAGAAAAGGAAAGAAAAGAAGGAAAAGAAGGAAAGAAAGAGGAAAAGAAAUGGAAAAAAAGAAGAAAAUGGAGACUAAAAUAAGUUGAAAAUGGGGGAAAAAAAGAAGAAAA